GAUGAACGCUGGCGGCGUGCCUAACACAUGCAAGUCGAGCGAGACGGUUAUGAUGGAUUCUUCGGAUGACAGAUUAACUAGAAAGCGGCGGACGGGUGAGUAACGCGUGAGUAACCUGCCCCAUACACAGGGAUAGCCAUUGGAAACGAUGAUUAAUACCUGAUAAUACAUUUGAAACACAUGUUUCGAUUGUCAAAGAUUUAUCGGUAUGGGAUGGACUCGCGUCUGAUUAGCUAGUUGGUAAGGUAACGGCUUACCAAGGCGACGAUCAGUAGCCGACCUGAGAGGGUGAUCGGCCACACUGGAACUGAGACACGGUCCAG
rnacentral:rRNA from 1 species